UAGAGUUUGAUCCUGGCUCAGAGCGAACGCUGGCGGCAGGCCUAACACAUGCAAGUCGAACGGCCCUUCGGAGCAGUGGCGGACGGGUGAGUAACACGUGGGAACGUGCCUUUUGGUUCGGAAUAACGCAGGGAAACUUGCGCUAAUACCGGAUGAGCCCUACGGGGGAAAGAUUUAUCGCCGAAAGAGCGGCCCGCGUUAGAUUAGCUAGUUGGUGGGGUAAAGGCCCACCAAGGCGACGAUCUAUAGCUGGUCUGAGAGGAUGAUCAGCCACACUGGGACUGAGACACGGCCCAGACUCCUACGGGAGGCAGCAGUGGGGAAUCUUGCGCAAUGGGCGGAAGCCUGACGCAGCCAUGCCGCGUGAAUGAUGAAGGUCUUAGGAUUGUGAAAUUCUUUUAGCAGGGACGAUAAUGACGGUACCUGCAGAAAAAGCCCCGGCUAACUUCGUGCCAGCAGCCGCGGUAAUACGAAAGGGGCUAGCGUUGCUCGGAAUUACUGGGCGUAAAGGGAGCGUAGGCGGGUCGUCAAGUUGGGGGUGAAAACCCAAGGCUCAACCUUGGAAUUGCCUCUCAAACUGACGAUCUAAAGUAUGAAACAAGAACGUGAACUCCCAAGUGUAAGGUGAAUUCGUGAGAUAUUCAGAAAAACAACAGGGGUGGAAGGCGACUGAUUUGGUCCCUGAGCUAGCGCGAGAGGUCCACAGACUGGGGAACCAUCACGGAAAAAGAAAACGUGAAGGGUCCCGGCGGGAGCGAGCGAGUGCAAGAAUAAGGAGCGUGAGCACCCCUCCUGCAACAAAGUUAGGCCAGUAUGCAAUCGCACGU
rnacentral:rRNA from 1 species